UACAAGGACUGCUAGUUUUGA
rnacentral:piRNA from 1 species